AUUUUCAAAGGUAAAUGGAGCAGCUUAUGGCAAUGGCAUUUACUUGAGUCCCCAGGCAAAACUGUCAUUUAAUUACUCUGGAAAGGUACAAUACUUACCACCACGGUCCACUAAGAAAGAACAAACCCCUGUUGGGAAAACCACUUCCACAAAAGAGACUAGCUCCCAAAGCAGUGUAUCUGGACAGAAGUUCCUAAGUCACUCAAACAGGCUUUCAUGUAUCGCUCUAUGUGAGGUUGUCACCAGUGAACAUUUGAAGAAGCAUGGUCCCAUCUGGGUUUGCCCUAAUCCAGAUCAUGUUUGCACAAGAUUCUUUUUUGUAUAUGAAGACCACAAUGGCCAAGUCCCAGAUGUCCAUACCCAGAAAGAAGGCUUCAAGCAGAGGAUUCAAGAUGUUGCAGAAUCUUAGUGACAGCUAAUAUUUAACAUGCCUUGAGAAGGAAUAUUUGUUUCCUUGAAAAGAAUCAGAUUUAUGUUAUAUUAUGUCUUACUAGUCCAAGUGUACAAUUAAUGACCAACGGAAGAUUGGAUGGCAAAUAACGGAUCUAUCUAAUUUUGCUCAUUUUAUACAAUGUUGGUAGAUGUUUUUUAAAAUCUAAGCUCAAGAUAGAUAUAGAUGGUCAGAAAUUACAACCCUAAAGAUCUGAGGCACACCCAAAAAGCUGUACUACAUGAUCAGGUGGCAUUAGAAAGUGUCUUCUUUGUGUUACGUUCAUACUCCCAUGAACAGUUUUUGACAUUCCCAGUACACGGUAUUGAAGCAAGUUUGUAAACUUCAGCCUAUACAUUUUCAUUCAUGUGUUGCAUAUAUUUGCUUUCCCACACUGCAAUCUGCUGUUUUUUAUGAAAUAUAUAAGUGUAUGCACAGAAAUAUCUAGGAUGUUACCGUACAAUUGGGACAUCGUUGUUAAAAUAAAAAUGUGCAAUUGGACAUUUGAUUUUUUUAAUGUUUUUAUGUAUAGACAAGUGAUGUAGCCAUCACCUGCAUCAUUGCCAUGCACUUCACUGUAAUGCAAUAUAUGGAAAACUGUGU